rnacentral:rRNA from 1 species
UAGGGAAUCUUCGGCAAUGGACGGAAGUCUGACCGAGCAACGCCGCGUGAGUGAAGAAGGUUUUCGGAUCGUAAAGCUCUGUUGUAAGAGAAGAACGAGUGUGAGAGUGGAAAGUUCACACUGUGACGGUAUCUUACCAGAAAGGGACGGCUAACUACGUGCCAGCAGCCGCGGUAAUACGUAGGUCCCGAGCGUUGUCCGGAUUUAUUGGGCGUAAAGCGAGCGCAGGCGGUUAGAUAAGUCUGAAGUUAAAGGCUGUGGCUUAACCAUAGUACGCUUUGGAAACUGUUUAACUUGAGUGCAAGAGGGGAGAGUGGAAUUCCAUGUGUAGCGGUGAAAUGCGUAGAUAUAUGGAGGAACACCGGUGGCGAAAGCGGCUCUCUGGCUUGUAACUGACGNUGAGGCUCGAAAGCGUGGGGAGCAAACAGGAUUAGAUACCCUGGUAGUCCACGCCGUAAACGAUGAGUGCUAGGUGUUAGACCCUUUCCGGGGUUUAGUGCCGCAGCUAACGCAUUAAGCACUCCGCCUGGGGAGUACGACCGCAAGGUUG